CCCAGACUCCUACGGGAGGCAGCAGUGGGGAGUAUUGGGCAAUGGGCGCAAGCCUGACCCAGCAACGCCGCGUGAAGGAAGAAGGCUUUCGGGUUGUAAACUUCUUUUGUCAGGGACGAAGCAAGUGACGGUACCUGACGAAUAAGCCACGGCUAACUACGUGCCAGCAGCCGCGGUAAUACGUAGGUGGCAAGCGUUAUCCGGAUUUACUGGGUGUAAAGGGCGUGUAGGCGGGACUGCAAGUCAGAUGUGAAAACCACGGGCUCAACCUGUGGCCUGCAUUUGAAACUGUAGUUCUUGAGUACUGGAGAGGCAGACGGAAUUCCUAGUGUAGCGGUGAAAUGCGUAGAUAUUAGGAGGAACACCAGUGGCGAAGGCGGUCUGCUGGACAGCAACUGACGCUGAGGCGCGAAAGCGUGGGGAGCAAACAGGAUUAGAUACCCUAGUAA
rnacentral:rRNA from 1 species